GCCUGCGCUCUAGAACCAUUUAUUGGGGGACAACGGAAACAGAGAUGUGUGAUGGUGGCUGGAUGGAUGGGGGGGCGCUCGGCGCCCUGAGGGUCUGGGCAGCCACCAGCCUGGGAGCGGUGUGUAAGGCACAUGGCCAGGCCGGGGCACUGGGCAAUGUCCUGGCCUGUGACGAGUGGGGGGCACCGCUCUGACACCCCCAGCCUGUGGUCCCACAGCCCCCCAGGGCUCGGGGCCAGCCCGGCAGGGGGAUGCAGCCUGGCCAACCCCCUGGCAGAGACCCAGCCCCACCAGCUCUUUGGUGCUCCCCGGGGAUCCCGGGGGGGAGUUUGUGUCCCCUGGCCAGGGGGGCACUGGGGAAGGGCUUGGGUGGUGCCUGGGACCCCCAUGCCAAAGUGGGUGUGGCUCAGAAGGACGUUUCCUGCACAGCAUAGGCAGGGGCCCCGGCUGCACGGAUGUAGCCCUGUCCUUCCUCCUCUUCCUGCCGCCCGAGGCCGGGGUGGGGCAAACCGUUGGGCACCCCUUUGGUCUUCGCCACUGCAUCCACAGUGUCGGUGUUCUGUGGGGACAGAGCAGGGGGUAGCAAGAAGACGACCCCAUGUUGUCCCCCCCAUCAGGCAAGGUGCUGGGGUCUGUGCCCCUCACCUGGUCAGGGAAGCCCACCCCACAGCAGAGCCUCUGCUUGUACUUCUGGGGCAGGCAGCAGAGCAGGUGAGGCAGCACGGGGUAGAUGGUUCGGGGGUCCACAGAUGCUGCCGGUGUGGGGCCUGGCGGGCAGAAUGGGGGGUGAGCAGGAGGGAAGGGGGCCCACCAGCAGCCCCCCACCACGCCACACUCACCGGUGAGCAGGCUGACCAGGAGCCCCACCACAAUGACGGUGGUGGAGUUGUGGGCACUGUACCACAUGUAGGACAGGCUGUAGAACUUCUGCAGCCCUGUGGGGCUGGGGAAGGUGGGUGUGAGUUGGGGGACAUGGAGCAGCACCCCCCAUCCCGCAGCACCCUGUCCCCAAGCCCCCCCCACCCCGCUCACCUCUUAGGGGCCUCCGUGGGGGCCAACAGGGUGGUGGCGAGGAUGGUGGUGAGGUUGCCCAUGGCGGGGAGCACAGUGCUGUUGGGUGGGGGGGUCCCUGCAGCUGCCCCCAUGCUGUGCAUCAGGCUGCCAAUGCCCACCCAGAAAGCCAUGGCCAGGCCAGCCAGCAGCCCCACGACAGCACCCUGCACCAGGGGACAGGGAGACUGCUGACCCCCAGACAGGCUUGGGGUGCCCCAGUCCCCCAGCACUGCCCCAUUCCAUGGGGUACAUGCCUCUGGCCAGGCAGGGGGACACUCACCGUGGGGUUGGCACAGGGAAAGAACAUGCCGAGGCAGAAGAGCCCCAGGAGUGGGCCCCCGACCAUGCCGAAGAUGCUGAUGGCAGCCUGUGGGGAUACAGUCCUCAGCACCAGUCCCUGCUGUGUGCUGGAGAUGGGGGGGACCCCUACACCCCCACCCUUACUUGCAGCACAGGGCCCAGCAUGGAGGACACGUAGGCCAUCCCCAGGCAUAGCAAUCCAUAACCAAGAGCUGGAAAGAGCAGACCAGAGGGGUCACAGUGGCACUGGGGACACCCCUGCCACCAGCACCAGCCCCCCCAUGCCACCCCCCGCUCACCCAGCAGCUUGGAGAGCAGCGUGGCCUGUGCCUCUGACAGCCGUGGGCAGUGCGGCCGGACCAGGUCCUCCAUCGUCACCGUGGCCAGCGAGUUGAAGGCGGAAGAGAUAGUGCUGGGGAGGAGAGGGAGAUGUUGGGUGCUUGGCUGGGGCCCCUCCAGCCCCAGGAUCCCCUCAGCUCACCUGAGGGACCCGCUGAAAAGGCAGGCGACGAAGAGCCCAGGCAGCCCCGGCAGGUCCUUCAGCACAUCCAUCACAAAGUACAGCACCAGCUGGGGAAGGAGAGUCAGUGCCCAUGGGGCUGGGAGGAUUGGGCGGGGCUGGGGAGGGGGGUCCAUCCCCACAGGCUGCAAGAGAUGGGGAACCCGGUGCCCACCUGGUCAGACGACCUGGGGCGGUUGCCGGGUGCCAGCGUGUGCUCCCGGUCAUAGACGAACAUGACGAGGCCAGUGAGGCAGCUGAGGCAGAGGACGAUCUGCUGGCAGGGGAACACGGCGUAGCAGGAGCUGCGGGUGCCGGGCCGGCGUUAGAGUCGGGGUGGGUGGCAGCGGGGGGACCCAUCCCGGCCACGGGAUCCCCAGCCCUGGCCCCACUCACAGCUUGGCCUCCCGCUCGCUGCGGGAGCUGAGGUACCGCUGCACCUGCGCCUGGUUCACCCCGUACAGCGACAGCAUCAUGAAGACUCCCCCCACAGCCAGGGUCCAGAAGGUGUGCCGCUCAAAGGGGUCAGGGUUCAGGCUGCAGAGAGGCACCAGCGGUGGGUGAUGGCACCAGGUCCUCACUGGCACCCCACACGCCAUGCCAUGGGAGCAGAUGGGGUCCCUCUUCCCCACCCUUCCUGGCUGCCCCACAGCGUGAGGUGGGGCACCCGGCCCCUGGUGGGUGAAGGCACCUUGGCACAGGACACACUGGGGCUGUGGCACUCACUCGAUGCCAGAGAUCUUGCCCUCCUGCUCAGCCAGGUGCCAGACACGGGCCAUGCCACCCACCCGCUGGGCGCCCACCACGAUGACGGCCAGCUGCCCCGCGAACAUCACCAGUGUCUGGAAGACGUCGGUCCAGAUGACAGCCUUCAGCCCGCCCUGCAGAGGCACAGUGCCCAUCACCACAGCCCGGCACAGGGCACCCCACAGCCGGGCAGUGGUGGUGGGAUGGCACUCACCAAUGUAGUGUACAGCGUGCAGACCAGCCCCAUGGUGAGCACUGCGCUCCAGAGGUCAAAGCCUGUCACUAGAAGUGAUGGAGGCCAUUAACAGGUUGCACCCUCACGCAGGAUGGGGCUUCCAGCAUCGCCCCCCUGCUCCUCUCCUCCUUACCUGCAUUGAGAGCCAGUGCGGGCGCAUAGAGUACCACCCCCAUGUAGAUGACCUGCAGGGAGAGCAGUGCUACAGCCAUACAUGGCCCCCCUCCACAUCCCACAACCCCCCCACCCCACUCACCAUCUGGAAGAUGAAGGUGAUGGUGCCAAAGACCCGCACUGUCUUGUUGAAGCGCAGCUCCAGGUACUCAUAGGUGCUGGUGAUACGCAGACGGUAGAAGACGGGGAUGAAGAUGUGUGCUGGGAUGAGCAGUCCCAAGAAGUAGGAGCAGCCGAGGAACCAGUACUCGGUGCCGAAAUGGUAGAUCUCGGCUGGCACGCCCAGGAUUGCCACUGCCGACUGGAAGGUGGCGAGCAGUGAGAGGGCGACGGGCAGAAAGCCCAUGUUGCGGUUAGCCAGGAGGAACUCCUGCACCGUGCGCUGCCGGUCCCCGCUCAGUGCAUAGAAGAGCCCGAUGGCUGAUGACAGCAACAGCAGCAGCGCAAAGAUGCUGUAGUCGAUCACUGUGAACUCCAUGGUGAGUGUCUCCUCUUGCCUCUGCCCCGCCAGAACCACCGCUGCCCGGCGACCCGCCCUGGCUGUGCCCUGCCGGCCUCAUGGGCACACCGAGCCCCGGUGGCCACCCCAGCAGCACGUCCUGGCCAGCAUCUCCCCGGCGCUUGGAGC
ensembl:lncRNA